rnacentral:rRNA from 3 species
AAAUUGAAGAGUUUGAUCAUGGCUCAGAUUGAACGCUGGCGGCAGGCCUAACACAUGCAAGUCGAACGGUAACAGGAAGCAGCUUGCUGCUUCGCUGACGAGUGGCGGACGGGUGAGUAAUGUCUGGGAAACUGCCUGAUGGAGGGGGAUAACUACUGGAAACGGUGGCUAAUACCGCAUAACGUCGCAAGACCAAAGAGGGGGACCUUCGGGCCUCUUGCCAUCAGAUGUGCCCAGAUGGGAUUAGCUUGUUGGUGAGGUAACGGCUCACCAAGGCGACGAUCCCUAGCUGGUCUGAGAGGAUGACCAGCCACACUGGAACUGAGACACGGUCC